UGGUGUUGUCGUAAGGGGAGUGUGCAGCGCUCACGCCGCCAGACAGAUACACAGCGGCACGAGAGGCGCGCCUUUGUUCGUGCCGGUGCAUUCGCUGCCCUCUCUACACGCACAUUUAUUCCCCGCCUCCCCCCCUUCUCACCACCCCCACCCCCCACCCCAUCGCCCUCUGCGGUAUAUAAAGGGUGGGCGGCUCCGCACGGGAGGCAUACACUUACGCGUACUUUGCACGACUGAGAAGCAGCGACGUAACACAGCGGCAAGGAGCACGAUGAGUACGGCGGCGGUAUCGAGGCCACGCGUGUACGUGCGCAUUCGCCCGCUCAACGACCGCGAGGUGCGUGAUGGAAAGGGCGAGCUCGCCUGCCGCGGUGACACUCGCCAGCAGGACGUCUUGUUCCUGAAGAAGGAUGAGACCCUGGAGCAGCAGGUGCGCUUCGAUCAGGUAUUUGACCAGUGCUCGAACCAGCAGCUCGUCUUCGACCACAUCGGUCCCGAGAUUCUGCGCACGCUGUUCAGCGGCUACAAUGCCUCCGUCUUCGCCUACGGGCAGACCGGUAGCGGUAAGACAUACACGAUGGAGGGCGACAGGGGCGGCGGCGUAAGCGGCGGGGCCUCCUCGGAGGAGCAGGAGGGUCUCAUACCUCGCAUCAUCCGCGGCAUCUUCUCCUCUUUCAAGUCCAACGCCAACAUAACCGACGCGCUUGUUGAGGUGAGCCUCGUGCAGAUCUACCAGGAGCGCAUCCAGGAUCUGCUGAACCACCGCAAGCAGGUGGAGAUUCACAUGGACCGCACUAGCCAGUACGUUGCCCGUGACGCGACCUGGCGGACCGUGCGCAGCCUCGAGGAAUGCAUGAAACUGUACGGAGAGGCCUGCAAGAUGCGCGCGACUUCGGCGACGGAGAUGAACCUGGUGUCCUCGCGUAGCCACAUGAUUCUCAUGCUUCGCAUGCAGUGGGACGAGCCGGCGCUGCCGGGGUCGCACGCGCAGCUGAACAUGAUCGACUUGGCAGGCUCUGAGCGGCUGAACGAGUCCGGUGCCACCGGUGAAACGAUGAAGGAGACGAUCACCAUCAACAAGUCCCUCAGCGCACUGGGCAAUGUCGUGGUGAAGUUGGUGGAGCAGGCGAAGAAGCCGAACAAGCGCAUACACAUUCCGUACAAGGAUAGCAAGCUUACCUACCUCUUGCAGUCCAGCUUGGGUGGGGCAAACCUGGUCCACUUCAUGCUCUCAGUGUCGGGCAGCGCCAUGUGGCGCAGCGAGACAACAUCGACCAUCGAAUUUGGUAAACGCGCCCUGCAGCUCGUCUUGCGGCCGGUGCGCAACGCCAUCGACUACACGCGCCUCGCCGAAAUGGAGGCGAUGAUCGAGCGCAUGCGGUCCCACAUAGAGUCGCUCGAAGAGGAGCUGCAGCUCAAGCGCAACUUUGAGGCCGCCGGAUUUCUGCAGCUGCGACAGAUUGCGCAGAGCGACGACGACCCCGCGCAGCGGCGGCGGCGGCAAGAAACAAGCGCGAAUCAUAAACACCUCAAGCGGCAGACGGAGCUCACCCGCAUCAUGGCGAACCUGCCGGAGACGUUCGACGACUUGACAUCGCACUGCGUACUCUUCCCCGAGUCGAAGGUGACGUUCCGCGAGCUGGGUGGGCUAGAGAAACUCAUCCACUUCGUGGGGAAGUCUGCCUCGAACUACUACCGUGCCAGCGCCGCGCAGACCAUCGCCAGCGUGAUCGACGAACCCGGGAGGGAGGUCUUCGCCAGCCUUGGCGGUCUCAAUGCUUUGGCGAUGCUUCUGCGGGUUCAGGAGGAACGGUGCAAGGAGGCGGCAUGCGUCGCCCUCGAGGCUGUGUGCCGCGGCUGCGUGACGAACAAGAGGAGCCUAUCCGCCGACGUCUACGCGGAGCUCGUAGACCUUGUCUACGGGUACUCGAAUCAGCAGGUGCAGGAGGCGGCGUGUGCGGCCGUUGCCUCCAUCGUCGACGGCUACGCCGAGGCGACACGGCGUUUUGAAAGGCUUGACGUGGUGCCGAAGCUGCUGGAGACGAUCCGCACCUGCCCGGCCGAAGUGGUCAACCUCACGAAGGCGGCGACGAAUUGCGUUGGCCGCCUGGCGCAUGGCGAUAAAGAGAUGCAGCAAACUAUCGCCUCCCUUGGCGGCGUCGACUUGCUCAUCGAUGUCCUCUUCAGCUCCUCCGGCGACCGCGACCAUCAGGUGCCGAUUUUAGCUUCGUACGCGCUCGUCAACCUAUGCUGCAGCAGUCACGAGAACCUCAAGAUGGCGAUGGAGCACAGCCGCUAUGGCGAGGUAAAGUUCCGGCUGCUUGAGGGCCUUGCGCGCGCCUUCGGCACGAACACGUCUCGCGAGGGCUUCGGCCGCGCUACGGCGCAGGAGACGGCGGGGCCGUUUCCGUACUAUGGCGUCACCAUUCAGGACGAGUGGACGUACGCCUCGUCCGGCGGCCGACCCAUCUUCUCAACCUUCAUGGACAACCCACAGUUUCACCUCUACGUGCGUGAGGAGACGGACAUCGCCUUCAUCAUUCAAGACACGCUCUACGAGGCCCGCAUGCGCAAGAAGCGGCGCAACAACUCCGUCUACAUGGGCAUCGCUAUUUUCGAGGGCGAUCCGACGCUGGCAAAGUUGGGGCUGAAGCAGCUCGACUUCCACGGCAAGAUGAUCGAGAUUGGCCGCUACACUUCCAACUGCGAGAACGUGCUUCAUUGCACGCUACCGGCCUCCGACACACCGUAUAUGGUCGUCCCCUUCACGAGUCAGAAGGGCCGGCACACCCACUUCGCCCUCUCCGCCUUUGGCAACCACCCGAUCGAGUUGACGUCGGUGCCGGAUCAGGUGGGAUGGGUGCACACGGUGCUGCAGGGCAAGUGGACGGAGUUCACGGGCCGCGGAGGCGAGACCUUCGACUGGCGCUGCAACCCGCAGAUUAGGCUGAAAACGAAGGAGGCUUGCCGCGUCGUCUUUGUCCUCUCGUACCUCUCGCUGGAUGAGCAGCGGGCGCAGCUGCUACAGGAAGAGGAAGAGGGGGAGGGGCAGAAUACCCGUCCGCGCCUGCACGGCCGCCUCUUCUCCAACGCCUUCGCGGUCCACAAGCGCUACCUCAAGGCGAUCGUACCGCUCCCCCAAGGCUCGACCUUCGUGGCCAGCAACACGUUCGCUAGCAACAGCUACAUCACCACCUCAGCGAACCUCGACAGGAGCGGGGACUACGUCUACAUCCCCUUCACCGAAACUCCCUUCCAGGACACCUACCGCGUCUCCGUCUACUGUGACUCGGACGAGGUGGAGAUAAAACCCAUGCAGGGGCAGUCCAGCGAGUGGAUGUGCGCAAGCCUUUCCGGUGUGUGGCAGGGCAAGCCCGUCUCCGUCGACCUCGAUACGACAGGCAAGCUGGUGGCGGUCAUGUACAGUCCCGGCGCCUUCGUGCGACCGCGUUUGCUGAGCGGUUUCAAUCAGAAACGCAUCGCCGGCAUCGACUCCUACUGGAACACCGAGGCAACAGUGGAGUACGACAGCAAUGGGCAGCUCACACUGCAGGUGGAGGCGAUGAUGCGUAGCGGGACGCCGAGCGCCGCCGCAGCGCGUGGGACCACCCAGUCGGCCACGAACCAGGUGACGCAAGUGCCGGCGACGGAUAUCAAGUUCGACCUUUUUAUCUUCACCGAUAGAAAGUGCACCCUCACGCGGGUCGGCUUCGACGCCUCACCCAGCUCAUGGCCGUGCCCGACGCAAUCCACCUCUCAGACCUUGCUAGCCUACCCGCAGCUUGUCGAAGACGUCGACGCCGUCGGCGGCGAUGACGACGACAACAGCGACAGCCUUGCCAGCGAACUGUGGCGCGAUGAUCCAGGCAACAUCUCGGCAGCCGAGCAAGAGGCGCGUGAGACGGAGUUGCUGAGAUUAUUGGAGAAGCAAGAGGCCGCGAACCACAUCCUCAAGUUGCAGCUGGCGCAGCAGGCACGUGAGCUGGAGGAGCUGCGGAACGGCGGUGUCAGUGCGACCACCUCGUCAAACAGCGACGGGAAGCGUGGGGGCAGCGCGAAGCCGUCGGGGACCAAAACACCGAAAAGGACCCCGUCAGCCACGAUGGACGGCUACGCAGGCUUGUCGGAGGGGAGACACCGGUCCAGGAAGGAGGUCGGCGGCGGCGGCAGCGCGCAGGCCGCGCUUCACAACCCCAGUCGCGGUAAUACUUCAGGCUCGGCCGAAGCCAAGGGAGCAGCGGCCAAGCCGCCUUCUACCGGGCCGGCGCAGCGAGGCACCAACACGAACAGCGCUGAAGCGUGGCGCCAGAAGCCGUUGGCCCUCGCCGGGACGACGUUGCCGACGAACAGGCCGGGCAUGGCCGACAACACCGCCUCGGCUGCACCGUCCCCGCAGGUGAAGGAGUUAGUGAACUACACGCUCGUGAAGCUGAUCGAAAUGAGCAAGCGUGCCGCUACCAGUGCUCGCUUGGGCGACAAGAAGGAGGACAGGGAGUGGAGGGCGAUGCUGAAGGACAUUGAGGAGGUGCAUCAGCGACUGCACGAUGCCUUCAGUAUACUUUGACCUCUAUAACAGGUGAGCGGGGAUAGGGGCGUUGCGGACGCCGAAGUGGCUGUGUGUGCGCGCGCGUGUGUGUGUGGAGGGAAGAGGGAAACGAAACAGAAAGCGACAACAACAGAAAGUCGAGGCGCGGGCCGGGAUGCGAGACGCAGGGGGGUGUUGCUGCGCGGGCCCAUAUGGCAGCCCCUCGCUCCCUCAGCUCUGUCCCCCUUUGAUUUGGCUGUGGGAGCAUCGUGUUGCCUUUUCGCUUGUUUGCUGGUGUUUUCUGCUUCCUUAUUGUGUGGCUGCGGUCGUCCGCCGGCGUGGCUGAGUCUGGCUGCUUGUCCUUGGUUGCCCUUCUGGGGAUGGGGCUUGUGCCGCACGCACGGCACCGCCAAUACUUUUAUACCCAUGGGCGCACGCAGGCUAGGCAGCCAAUGGACAACCCCCUCUCCUUUGGUGUGUCGAUUCCUUUAUCUCUAGUUUACGGGCCCUCGUGUGUUCCUUUUCCGUUUUUUUUUUCGCCUUUUCGUUCAUGUUCUUACGAUGUGCGUGUGCUUAUCCACCCAUCUAUGCCCCCCCCCCCUCCCCCCCCCCGCCCCGCCCCGCCCUCGGUGUCUUUGUGCCUUGUCUGGUCCCUCAGCGCCACCCUCCUUCUUCCUCUGGACGCUCCGUUCAUGUGACUCUCCACUCGUAUAUACGUGUCUGUGGUGCCGCCUGCCCCCAUCAGAGGGAGAAUGGGAGAGAGACAGAUGCACCUCUUCUUCGGCGUUACAUUCAUCUAUGUCUAUAUCUAAACCUCGCUGCUCGUCUAGACCUGGAUUCGUCCGUGCGCACGGAAUGCCUCCGCCUCCGCUUCCCUUUCAAUCUUUUCCGCAUCUCCCUCGUCUCCUCGAGUCUAUGACUGUUUCUCUUGUUCGUUCCUGUUGCCACUGUGUUCUCUCGCUGUGCGUGUGUGUGUGUGUGCGUGUCUUCGUCCCUUCACCCUUAUUUCUCUCUGUGUUUGGUGUGUUAUUGGUGUUCUCGCUACGUCUCUUCCCUUCUCGCUCGCACCCGCUCCCCUCUCCUUUCCCCUUCCGCUCCGCUCCCCUCCCAUCACAGAGAGGGGUUCGGGCGUGUGUCGCUCGGUGUUUCCGUGUGCAGUUUUACUUUGGAUGCUCUAUUCCGUUUUCGUGUGUUUCCGCUUGUAAGCUGCGCACGUGCAUGUGUGCUCGUGUGGCGAGCGAGCGACGGCGUGAGAGAGGGAGAGGCAGGAGGAGGAGGCGGAGAGAGAAACCUAUAGAAACGUGACAGAAGAAAGAAAUGAAGGGAGACAUACAGAGGGUCACAGCCAGGGGGGGGGAAUGUAGGGUUGAGAGAGAGCAUGAGAACAGACCGCCGCUACUGCACAGCCGGAUCUGCUCGCGCAUCUCCUCCCCCCUCUCGCCCUUUCCACAGUGCCGUCCUUCAUCCUUUGAAUGGAGGCGCACCCCCUUCUUCCUCCUCCUUCUCCUCGGCGCGCGCUCUCUGUAUUCGGCGGAUUCUCCCACCACCUCCUCGCCCCAGCCCUUUCCUUUGUCUCUUGCGAUGUACUGCAGCCCAGGUUUU
rnacentral:misc_RNA from 1 species